rnacentral:rRNA from 1 species
AUUCCAGCUCCAAUAGCGUAUAUUAAAGUUGUUGCGGUUAAAAAGCUCGUAGUUGGAUCUCGGCGGGCAGGGGGUGGUUCGCUCUUCAGCGCUACUGCCCCGCUUUGCCCGUGUGAUUGGCGGAGGUUUCGGGGUGCUCUUCGUUGAGUGACUCGGAGCGCCGUCAGGUUUACUUUGAAAAAAUUAGAGUGCUCAAAGCAGGCUUUUCACGCUUGAAUAUUCGUGCAUGGAAUAAUGGAAUAGGAACUCGUUUCUAUUUUGUUGGUUUUCGGAAAUCGAGUUAAUGAUUAACAGGGACAGUCAGGGGCACUCGUAUUCCGCCGAGAGAGGUGAAAUUCUCAGAUCAGCGGAAGACGAACCACUGCGAAAGCAUUUGCCAGGGAUGUUUUCAUUA